rnacentral:rRNA from 1 species
UCCUACGGGGGGCAGCAGUGGGGAAUAUUGGGCAAUGGGCGAAAGCCUGACCCAGCAACGCCGCGUGAAGGAAGAAGGCUUUCGGGUUGUAAACUUCUUUUGACAGGGGAGAGCAGAAGACGGUACCUGUCGAAUAAGCCACGGCUAACUACGUGCCAGCAGCCGCGGUAAUACGUAGGGAGCAAGCGUUAUCCGGAAUUAUUGAGUGUAAAGGGUGCGUAGACGGGACAGCAAGUUAGUUGUGAAAGCCCUCGGCUUAACUGAGGAACUGCAACUAAAACUAUUGUUCUU